UACGGAGGGUGCGAGCGUUGUUCGGAAUCACUGGGCGUAAAGGGCGUGUAGGCGUUCUGUUAAGUCUGAUGUGAAAGCCCGGGGCUCACCCCCGGAAGUGCAUUGGAUACUGGCGGACUCGAGUCCCGGAGAGGAGGGUGGAAUUCCUGGUGUAGCGGUGAAAUGCGUAGAUAUCAGGAGGAACACCGGUGGCGAAGGCGGCCCUCUGGACGGUGACUGACGCUGAGACGCGAAAGCGUGGGGAGCAAACAGG
rnacentral:rRNA from 1 species